GGCUGGUUAGUUCAGCUGGUUAGAGUGUGGUGCUGAAAACACCAAGGUCAAGGGUUCAAACCCUCUACUGGCCA